UCCUACGGGAGGCAGCAGUGGGGAAUAUUGCACAAUGGGGGCAACCCUGAUCCAGCAAUGCCGCGUGGGUGAAGAAGGCCUGCGGGUUGUAAAGCCCUUUCGGUUGGGAAGAACGUGCUUGAGGCUAAUACCCUUGAGCGGUGACGGUACCGACAGAAGAAGCACCGGCUAACUCCGUGCCAGCAGCCGCGGUAAUACGGAGGGUGCAAGCGUUAAUCGGAAUUACUGGGCGUAAAGCGCACGUAGGUGGUUUGUUAAGUCGGAUGUGAAAUCCCCGGGCUCAACCUGGGAAUGGCAUUCGAGACUGGCAAGCUAGAGUCUGGUAGAGGGUGGUGGAAUUCCAGGUGUAGCGGUGAAAUGCGUAGAUAUCUGGAGGAACAUCAGUGGCGAAGGCGGCCACCUGGACUAAGACUGACACUGAGGUGCGAAAGCGUGGGUAGCAAACAGGAUUAGAUACCCUGGUAGUCCACGCCGUAAACGAUGAGAACUAGAUGUUGGGAGGGUUAAACCUUCUAGUGUCGCAGCUAACGCACUAAGUUCUCCGCCUGGGGAGUACGGCCGCAAGGUUAAAACUCAAAGGAAUUGACGG
rnacentral:rRNA from 1 species